ACCUGGCUGGCUCAGUCAGUGGAGCAUGUGACUCUUGAUCUCAGGGUCAUGAGUUCAAGCCUCACGUUGGGCA
rnacentral:tRNA from 1 species